AAUCAACGCUGGCGGCGUGCCUAACACAUGCAAGUCGAACGAGAAAGUGAAGCACUCCAUGAGUAAAGUGGCGCACGGGUGAGUAACACGUGACUAACCUACCCUGAAGUGGGGGAUAACUGAGGGAACCCUUAGCUAAUCCCGCAUAAUACCUACGGGUCAAAGGAGCAAUUCGCUCUAGGAGGGGGUCGCGGCAGAUUAGCUAGUUGGCGGGGUAAUGGCCCUCCAAGGCAGUGAUCUGUAUCCGGCCUGAGAGGGCGCACGGACACACUGGAACUGAAACACGGUCCAGACUCCUACGGGAGGCAGCAGUGGGAAAUUUUGCGCAAUGGGGGAAACCCUGACGCAGCAACGCCGCGUGGAGGAUGAAGUCCCUUGGGACGUAAACUCCUUUCGAUCG
rnacentral:rRNA from 1 species